GAUGAACGCUGGCGGCGUGCUUAACACAUGCAAGUCGAACGAAGCACUUUAUUCGAUUUUCUUCGGAGAUGAAGAUUUAGUGACUGAGUGGCGGACGGGUGAGUAACGCGUGGAUAACCUGCCUCACACUGGGGGAUAACAGUUAGAAAUGACUGCUAAUACCGCAUAAGCGCACAGUACCGCUCGGUACGGUGUGAAAAACUCCGGUGGUGUGAGAUGGAUCCGCGUUUGAUUAGCCAGCUGGCGGGGUAACGGCCCACCAAAGCGACGAUCAAUAGCCGACCUGAGAGGGUGACCGGCCACAUUGGGACUGAGACACGGCCCAAACUCCUACGGGAGGCAGCAGUGGGGAAUAUUGCGCAAUGGGGGAAACCCUGACGCAGCGACGCCGCGUGAGCGAUGAAGUAUUUCGGUAUGUAAAGCUCUAUCAGCAGGGAAGAAUAAAUGACGGUACCUGACUAAGAAGCCCCGGCUAACUACGUGCCAGCAGCCGCCGCGG
rnacentral:rRNA from 1 species